GAUGAACGCUGGCGGCGUGCCUAAUACAUGCAAGUCGAGCGAACAGAUGAGGAGCUUGCUCCUCUGACGUUAGCGGCGGACGGGUGAGUAACACGUGGAUAACCUACCUAUAAGACUGGGAUAACUUCGGGAAACCGGAGCUAAUACCGGAUAAUAUAUUGAACCGCAUGGUUCAAUAGUGAAAGACGGUUUUGCUGUCACUUAUAGAUGGAUCCGCGCCGCAUUAGCUAGUUGGUAAGGUAACGGCUUACCAAGGCAACGAUGCGUAGCCGACCUGAGAGGGGGUAGGCCCCCCGAGAAGUUGAACGGCGGCCAGGGGCCUGAGGGGGGGCCCAAGCUGGGACGUUAGCCAAAAGGGGGGAGGCUUGCAGGAGGAACGGAGGCGUGAUGAAGAAGGGCUUCGGGCGGGAAAACGUUUUUAGGGGGGAAAAACAAAUUUGUAAGUAACGAAGCGUGUGUGACGGUAACCUAAAAAGAAGCCCCGGCUAACUACGUG
rnacentral:rRNA from 1 species